rnacentral:rRNA from 1 species
AUUGAACGCUGGCGGCAUGCCUUACACAUGCAAGUCGAACGGCAGCACGGGUGCUUGCACCUGGUGGCGAGUGGCGAACGGGUGAGUAAUACAUCGGAACAUGUCCUGUAGUGGGGGAUAGCCCGGCGAAAGCCGGAUUAAUACCGCAUACGAUCUACGGAUGAAAGCGGGGGACCUUCGGGCCUCGCGCUAUAGGGUUGGCCGAUGGCUGAUUAGCUAGUUGGUGGGGUAAAGGCCUACCAAGGCGACGAUCAGUAGCUGGUCUGAGAGGACGACCAGCCACACUGGGACUGAGACACAGCCCAGACUCCUACGGGAGGCAGCAGUGGGGAAUUUUGGACAAUGGGCGAAAGCCUGAUCCAGCAAUGCCGCGUGUGUGAAGAAGGCCUUCAGGUUGUAAAGCACUUUUGUCCGGAAAGAAAUCCUUGGCCCUAAUACGGUCGGGGGAUGACGGUACCGGAAGAAUAAGCACCGGCUAACUACGUG